rnacentral:rRNA from 1 species
UACGGGGGGAGCAAGCGUUGUUCGGAUUUACUGGGCGUAAAGGGCGCGUAGGCGGCGUGACAAGUCACUUGUGAAAUCUCCGGGCUUAACUCGGAACGGUCAAGUGAUACUGUCGUGCUAGAGUACAGAAGGGGCAACUGGAAUUCUUGGUGUAGCGGUGAAAAUGCGUAGAUAUCGAGAGGAACACCUGCGGCGAAGGCGGGUUGCUGGGCUGACACUGACGUGAGGCGCGAAAGCUAGGGGAGCGAACGGG